GAUGAAGAACGCAGCUAAAUGCGAUACUUGGUGUGAAUUGCAGAAUCCCGUGAACCAUCGAGUCUUUGAACGCAAGUUGCGCCCGAAGCCAUUAGGCCGAGGGCACGCCUGCCUGGGCGUCACACGUCGUUGCCCCCCCAUCUACUCCUUCGGGAUUGCGGGGGGCGGAUGAUGGCCUCCCGUGCGCCUCGCCGCGCGGUUGGCAUAAAUGCCAAGUCCUCGGCGACGCACGCCACGACAAUCGGUGGUUGCGAAACCUCGGUUGCCCGUCGUGUGCGGUCGUCGCGCAUCGAGGGCUCGAAAAAAUUGCCGGGUUCCGGCUCGGCUUUCAACGCGACCCCAGGUCAGGCGGGGUUACCCGCUGAAUUUAAGCAUAUCAAUAAGCGGAGGA
rnacentral:misc_RNA from 1 species